rnacentral:rRNA from 1 species
CACGUAGGGAGCAAGCGUUGUCCGGAUUUAUUGGGCGUAAAGAGCUCGUAGGUGGUUCGGUAAGUCAGGUGUGAAACCUCCAGGCUCAACCUGGAGACGCCACUUGAUACUGCUGUGACUGGAGUCCGGUAGGGGAGCGUGGAAUUCCUGUUGUAGCGGUGAAAUGCGCAGAUAUCAGGAGGAACACCAGCGGCGAAGGCGGCGCUCUGGGCCGGUACUGACACUGAGGAGCGAAAGCGUGGGUAGCAAACAGG